UCAUAGAUUUGCAUUAGUAUGUCAAUCUUUGAUUUCCUAUAAAUACGCCGGCAAUCCACAAUGCAGCUCUCUUUUCUGGUGAUUUCUGAAAGAAAUAGUAGUGCGCGCGUGUGUAGUGUAUUUCCCUAAAUGUGGAGGAUAAAGUUAUAAACGUUUGUUAGUUCGACCUACUAUCUGUGUUAUUGUUAGUAUGGUUAAAAAUGUGUUAGUAACGGUUAAAAUCAUGCAAAAAGUAUGUAAAUUGUUAGUAUGUGUUAGAAACUUAUCCUAAAACUAAAUGUUAAACUGUUAGAUCCAUUGUUAGAUUACACGCAAAACAAUAGAAGAACAGUUAGAUGACAACAACAAAAACGUGAAAACAACAAGAAAAAGGUAACAAAUAUUGUAGUUUUGUGAACAAUGCUAGGUCGUGAGAAAUGUAACGUCACAGGGGUCUAAUUUGUGGUUAGGUCCAAGGAAUGGGCCUUUUUCUUUGCUUUCGAGCUUUUUCCCAGCAGACAAUACCGCCCCGAUGGCAAUAGCGGCGACAAACACCAGCAAAACCAGCCAGAAUCGCCUUCAUAUCGCUAGAGGCGCGAAACACCAGUGGGCUCCACAAGAAACCCCCCCCUUUUGCGGGUCGAGAAUACGAAGUGUUCGUCACGCCGCUGGCCACCAUCGUCAACUACCGUAUUCUGCUGUGGGUUCAACAACAGAAGCCGCCAUCUUAGUCCCCAAUGGCCGGCUUCGGCGAGAUUGCUCAGCGUUUGCUGCUGAAGAGCAUCUCCCGGCUACCUCAUCAACAUCUGUGGCCGUCCUCUUUGCCACCUCCGUGGUCUACCAACGACAGUGAAAGACCGCCAGACGUUCCCGAACGAUAACAAAACCGCAAGUAUAAACCCCCUAAAAGUGACGUCGUUUGAAUAAAAUGUAAGAUUGUAGAUAGGA